GUCAUGGGCGACGGCGGUGUGCGCCGUCCACAUCUUGUGCAGCGAAGCUGGUGAGAAUCCAGCGCUGUCCCGCAACUGUGAGCUUCCCGCGAGGGGAGCGAGCCAGGUCGCCUCACGCGGUGUGUCAACGUUC
rfam:Catenulispora acidiphila DSM 44928, complete genome.